rnacentral:lncRNA from 1 species
UCUGAGUCUCUGGAGGAACGCAGAGAGGAAAUUUCCCACAACUCUGACUCCUGGGAAGCUCGAGGCAGGCCCAGGUGAGGCCCAGGAUCCAGAGGGCUGGUGGAGGUAUGGCUGGAGGAGAGCCCUUGGUGCCAGAGAAGUGUCUGAACCACCAGGGACUUCAUCCAACUGGAACAAAGAAGCAUGUGGGGCCGACCAUGCUGAUGGUUAUUUCAGUUCCACACAACCUCCAAGGACUUCGGUGGGAAAUUUCCGUGGCCGUCUGCUGACAUUUUAGCAAAAUAAAAUGACAUCAAAAC